UACGGAGGGUGCAAGCGUUAUCCGGAUUCACUGGGUUUAAAGGGUGUGUAGGCGGAUUUUUAAGUCAGUGGUGAAAUCUCCGGGCUCAACCCGGAAACUGCCAUUGAUACUAUUAGUCUUGAAUUCUGUUGAGGUGGGCGGAAUACAUCAUGUAGCGGUGAAAUGCGCAGAUAUCAGGAGGAACACCAAUGGCGAAGGCAGCUCGCUGGGACGUGACUGACGCUGAGACGCGAAAGCGUGGGGAGCAAACAGG
rnacentral:rRNA from 1 species